UACGUAGGGUGCGAGCGUUAAUCGGAAUUACUGGGCGUAAAGCGUACGCAGGCGGCUUUGCAAGACAGGUGUGAAAUCCCCGGGCCUAACCUGGGAACUGCAUUUGUGACUGCAUGGCUAGAGUUUGUCAGAGGGGGGUGGAAUUCCACGUGUAGCAGUGAAAUGCGUAGAUAUGUGGAGGAACACCGAUGGCAAAGGCAGCCCCCUGGGAUGUGACUGACGCUCAUGUACGAAAGCGUGGGGAGCAAACAGG
rnacentral:rRNA from 1 species